AUUGAACGCUGGCGGCAGGCCUAACACAUGCAAGUCGAACGAACGGCGGACUGGUGAGUAGUAUAUGGGAAUCUGCCUGAUGUAGGGGUAUAACUGCUGGAAACGGUAGCUAAUACCGCAUACCAUCAGAUGAACCCAUAUGGAAUUAGCUAGUAGGUGUGGUAACGGCUCACCGAGGGGACGAGCCCUAGCUGGUCUGAGAGGAUGAUCAGCCACACUGGGACGGAGACACGGCACAGACUCCUACGUGAGGCAGCAGUUGGGAAUAUUGCACAAUGGGCGAAAGCCUGAUCCAGCAAUGCCGCGUGUGUGAAGAAGUUCUUCGGAUUGUAAAGCACUUUUAGUGGGGAGGCGUUACCAACAGAAAAAGCACCGGCUAACUUCGUGCCAGCAGCCGCGGUAAUAC
rnacentral:rRNA from 1 species